rnacentral:rRNA from 1 species
GAUGAACGCUGGCGGCGUGCCUAAUACAUGCAAGUCGAGCGAACAGACGAGGAGCUUGCUCCUCUGACGUUAGCGGCGGACGGGUGAGUAACACGUGGAUAACCUACCUAUAAGACUGGGAUAACUUCGGGAAACCGGAGCUAAUACCGGAUAACAUGUUGAACCGCAUGGUUCAACAGUGAAAGACGGUCUUGCUGUCGCUUAUAGAUGGAUCCGCGCCGCAUUAGCUAGUUGGUAAGGUAACGGCUUACCAAGGCAACGAUGCGUAGCCGACCUGAGAGGGUGAUCGGCCACACUGGAACUGAGACACGGUCCAGACUCCUACGGGAGGCAGCAGUAGGGAAUCUUCCGCAAUGGGCGAAAGCCUGACGGAGCAACGCCGCGUGAGUGAAGAAGGUCUUCGGAUCGUAAAACUCUGUUAUUAGGGAAGAACAAAUGUGUAAGUAACUACGCACGUCUUGACGGUACCUAAUCAGAAAGCCACGGCUAACUACGUG